rnacentral:rRNA from 1 species
UACAGAGGGGGCAAGCGUUGUUCGGAAUUACUGGGCGUAAAGGGCGCGUAGGCGGCCCGCUAAGUCGAACGUGAAAUCCCCGAGCUCAACUCGGGAACUGCGUCCGAUACUGGUGGGCUUGAAUUCGGGAGAGGGAUGCGGAAUUCCAGGUGUAGCGGUGAAAUGCGUAGAUAUCUGGAGGAACACCGGUGGCGAAGGCGGCAUCCUGGACCGAGAUUGACGCUGAGGCGCGAAAGCCAGGGGAGCAAACGGG